rnacentral:rRNA from 1 species
ACGAACGCUGGCGGCGUGCCUAACACAUGCAAGUCGAGCGGGAAAGUGGGAGCAAUCCUGCGAGUACAGCGGCGCACGGGUGAGUAACACGUAGGUAACCUACCUCCGAAACUGGGAUAACCUGUCGAAAGAUGGGCUAAUACCGGAUAAGACCACGAGAGCUUUGGUUCUUGGGUAAAAGGUGGCCUCUUCUUGAAAGCUACCGUUGGGAUGGCCUGCGUGCCAUUAGCUAGUUGGUGGGGUAANGGCCCACCAAGGCAAAGAUGGCUAGCUGGUCUGAGAGGAUGGCCAGCCACACUGGGACUGAGACACGGCCCAGACUCC